AGAGUUUGAUCAUGGCUCAGGACGAACGCUGGCGGCGUGCUUUAUACAUGCAAGUCGAACGAGGACCGGGUGCUUGCACCCGGAGCCGAGUGGCGAACGGGUGAGUAACACGUGACCAAUCUGCCCUUGGGAGAGGGACAACCUGGGGAAACCCGGGCUAAUACCACAUUAUGUGCGGCCAUCGCAUGUUGGCGGCACCAAAGGGAGCCUCUUCUUGUAAGCUCUCGCCCAGGGAGGAGGUCGCGGCGUAUCAGCUUGUUGGUGGGGUAACGGCCUACCAAGGCGACGACGCGUAGCGGGUCUGAGAGGUCGAUCCGUCACAUUGGGACUGAGAUACGGCCCAGACUCCUACGGGAGGCAGCAGUAGGGAAUAUUGCGCAAUGGUCGAGAGACUGACGCAGCGUAGCCGNUAGUGGGAGGAANCCUCGGGGUGUAAACCACUGUCAGGUGGGAACGAACCNACGCUCGU
rnacentral:rRNA from 1 species